UUGAACCCGGCGACAAUGAAUGUUUUGCACACACCGCUCACGUGAUCAGCGGAAGAAUACAUUAUUUCGUGCGAGUAGGUGAAGUCGGUGGUUGUACAUUGUCGGUAACAUAUACUUUGAAUUUUGAGUGUUUCCUAAAUGAAAGGGAGUUGACUUAGAUUUUAUAUGCGGGGUUGUACCCUGUAAUGAGCACGCCCAAAGUUGUAAUUAAAAUAAAGUGGCAGUCUCCUGCUUUAGUGCAAAUAGUAAAACAAUGAAGAUACUGUAGGCAAGAACCGGUGAUGAGAAACCUUUAUGCACUAAGGCCAAUUUUAAAAUGUAAAAACCCAGCGUGAGCCGCAAACCAGUUGUUAAAACUGAAAUUAAUAUAAUUUCAAAAACAUUUUGCAUUAAGCGUUUCAGUGACAAAAGGGUUUAUUGUGAAUGCAAUGAAAAAUCGUAUUUAAAUUGUAGGAUUUAUACGUAUAUGGGUUUUCUUAAGACUGCAAAAACGUCAUUUAGAUUCCGUUCACUGUUUCCUUGCCAUUAUAUUAACGAAGGAAUUGAAAGAAGAUUAAUUUAGAGUAACACUUGUUAACAACCAGAUCACAAUUGCAUUUUCCCAUCUGCCAUAUAAACACAGGAAGAUUUACAAAAAUAAAUGUGCGAUAUUACCAGUUGUGGGAAGAAUUGAGAUAGAGGAAUUUUAAGAGCGUAACAGGGAGAUGGGUGUUUAUUUUAUUCUUUAUUUAUCAAAUCUUUCAGUAGCUCAGAUUACAUCCAGCAGAAUGUUUAGAUGUCUAGGAAAUGGUCGUCGAAUAAUUUUAAAAAAUAUCCCGGGUUAUGUCUGGAGCCUUUGGAAAAUCACAAAAACUGAGGCAGGACAGUCAGUCUGUCUGCGAGCCAGGUUCUGAAACUGGGAAAGUAUCUGGACCAAAGAGCCUACAGGAAACUGCAGUCAGGGAUUCCAUGGUUCCGACGUUUUCAAAUAUUAUUAGGGUAAUCAAAAUAAAUAAGGAUGAGAUCGGCGGGGCACCUAGUACGAAUGGGGAAGAUGAGAUUACUCCCAUGAAAGAGACCAUUUGGUAUACUAAAACGUUGACGGGAGAGUAAUAUUAAAAUGGAACUGAAAUUUGAAAUGAAGGAGUGGCAUGGAAUUUAACUUACUCAGAACGGGCACGAAUAGUAAGCUUUUGUGACUACGGCAGUGAACUUCGGAUUUUAUAAAAAAUCUACUGUUUCCCCUAACGGGUUUGUCACUGCUUAUUGUUACGACAAUGGCAUUGAUUAUAUAAAACUGGUUCUUUCCACCGGCCGGAGAAAAUCCCCGCGGUGUGAAUCGGAUCUAGUGCGAUUAAAGGAGGGGGGGAAGUUUCUAACCAGGUGGACUAAAGGGCUGCUAUUGGUGGGAGGUAUAUCACGCCACCCAGUUACACUGCUACACACAGACUAAAAACAUCAAGCAUUUAACGGUAGCAUGUCGUGAUUGUAUCUGUACUGUAUUUUGUAGGUGUUGUGAUAAUAUUCUUGAUUCAACCACUGUACCACUGUGAGGUAAUCUUAAAGCUAUACCCAUUAGAACACGCAAGCCUUGGGUCUGUUGUUCGUUAAUGGUUGUGAAACGGAUGCUUUUAGGAUGGCUAGUAGCAAAGCGUCACUUGCGCGCAGUUACAUUUCAAACUUGUUAUCGUUGGUCAGUACAGUUAAAAAUGCAGCCACCAACGUUCAGUAUUUGGCGUGUGCGAGUGUUGUAAGGUAGCAGUUCAGUGUUUAUCCGUGGCAUGGUUUAUAUUUGUAAUUUGAAGUUGUGUGCAGUUGUUUGCGUAUGUUGUGUCCGGUUAAUGAAAGAACACCGCUAGAAAUUGACUGCAAUGAUGAUUAAUGUCGAGUAGGUUGGAAUUCAUUUCUGGUGCAUCUUCAUUCUAAGAACUGUAAUAUGCGCGUUAAUGUUCCUCAAUGCUGAGUGGCUCUGCCAUUGUUAACUGCAUCACCGAGCUGCGGUGUUAUUGCACUUGUACCAUAUUCCAAUGUAUGUGACUUGGACAAGGAAAAUUGAGUACGUUUAUGCAUUAAUAUUGUUGGUGUUUUACAAUUAUAAGGGUUGACCAGGGCAGAACAGGGUGUCGGCUUUAUUUCGUCUGCAAUGCGUGACCGGGUGAAAAUCCAUUGACAUGUAGCACAGGGUUAUGUCAUGUCAGUCAGCGCCAUUUUGUGGUUACAGUUUCUGAAAUAAUCACCCAUGCUGGAUUGUGUUCCUACAUUUUACAAUUUUUUUCUCAACUUCCAGUGAAGGACUGGAAAAGUUGCCGCCAGGGUCCUUAAUGGUGACUGCGGAAGUAGUAGCAGUAGCUGGAGUGUAACAAGAAAAUGCUACUACAACAAGUGAUGCAGAUUGGAUUGGACUGUACUAGAGUAGCACAGAUCAUACUCCUCCAGAAAUAUUGAAGGGGUAUAAAGGUAGGUGUCGAAAUCUACCUCUGUAAUUACCUAUAAUGUGCUGUAGGAGAGCGGUAAGGGAAAUUAUGUAGCCCAUGCUGUAACAUGAGAUAUACUGUACCCAGGCGAAAUGAUCUGAGUUGUGACUAUGAAGGAGAUAAUGUUUUAAAUAGCAUAUAAUUACAUGAACAAAUUAUGUGACA